rnacentral:siRNA from 1 species
UUAGUAGGUGAGUGUGUUUGG